rnacentral:lncRNA from 1 species
AUUGUGAUGAAUGCAUGGGUCAACUCUUGCUAAGAGCUUAACAAAGUACCAGGUACAUGGAAACGAUCUGGAAGAGCUAGCUAGUUCUGACCACAGGUCUGUAAGAGUGCUACAAGACACCUUAGAAGCAGGGCCAGACAUGAGGAUUCACAGACAAGUGGCUACUGUGGCCGGAAUGCAGGAGUCCCGUGAUCCAUGUGAGGAGUUUCAUCUGAGUGGCUGCUAUGUUGACUCUUUCAUUUUGAGAUCUUUUGUAUAGUUUCUCAUGGGGGAGGAAGACGGAACUGGGCUUGCUCUGACAGCUUGAGGCUAAGAGAGGUGAAAUCAGAUGGUCUCAGCCGUGUUCCCAUGCUGCUCAGCAUCCGCAUCAGCAAGAUCGACUCAAUUUCCUCCUGCUCGCAGCUGAGGUGAUGAAAAGUCACAUCGAGCCAGAUGAAGCCCUGGGACAGUCGCCAGCGCAGAACAGUUGUUUCACCUUAAAACAAGCUUCAUCUUGGCAGUGUCACCAAUGUGAGAGAAGUCACACAUGCUUAUGUUGUCUUCCCUUUCGUUAAAAAAAAAAAAAUAAGAGGAAGUAACAGCUUCAAUGUACUCCAGACAUGUCUGUCUGCCUUCCUUCCCUUCUC